UACAGAGGUCUCAAGCGUUGUUCGGAUUCAUUGGGGCGUAAAGGGUGCGUAGGUGGCGCUGUAAGUCGGGUGUGAAAUUUCGGAGCUUAACUCCGAAACUGCAUUCGAUACUGCGGUGCUUGAGGACUGGAGAGGAGACUGGAAUUCAUGGUGUAGCAGUGAAAUGCGUAGAGAUCAUGAGGAAGACCAGUGGCGAAGGCGGGUCUCUGGACAGUUCCUGACACUGAGGCACGAAGGCCAGGGGAGCAAAACGGG
rnacentral:rRNA from 1 species